GGGUGUGGGGUACUCAUCUGAAGUUCCUGACAUGAUGUGUGUGUGUGUGUGUGUGUGUGUGUGUGUGUGUGUGUGUGUGUGUGUGUGUGUGUGUGUGUGUGAUUGUGUGUGAUUGUGUGUCUGUGGAUGUUGUGUACCGGCGGAUGUGAGCCGCGGGUGUGGUUGUGUGUGUGAGAACGGCGCGAAUGUAAAUCCACCAGUGGUGUGUUUUGUCGACAAAAAUACAAGCAUGAAUAAUAGUUACCUUAUUCUACCAGUGAUUGUUUAGUUCCUAUGAUGCACAAUUUUUCGGGGAAUAACAAACGCUUCAGAGUGCGCGAGAAGUCAGCAUUAGCGAAGCCAUGGACCUUAAUUUCUUUUCUUCAUCGUGUAAUUAUUCUGCCUGUUGUGCGUGUGUGUGUGCGCACACGUUUUCCCCCCUCCAAUAUAGGGUUUUUAUUUCAAAAGUACUAGAAGCUUUAGUUGUGUUUUUAGCCGUGAUUAUUUAACGACUUCAAAGCAUAUGUAGUGAGACAGAACCUUGAGUAUUAGCCAGACUUGACUGUGGUGUGUGCCAGUAUUGAACUGCUCUCUACCAAAUAAUUCAAUCAUACAAAAGAUUAGUUUACUUAAUUCCAGAUCUCUUUGCUUAAACUAUAUAUAUAUAUAUCUCUUACUUGUAUUUGUUUUUGUCUUGUUGAACAAUUUGUUAUCAAGUGGAACAUCUGAACCGUGUUUUUGUCAUUUAUUUUUUGAGUUAACUUAAUUUGACAAAUUGAACUGAGGAGCCUUGGAUUUUGCACUUGGGUGGAUUUUUGGAGGAAAGGCCGAGCAAGAGAAAGGCACAGCCGAGACGGUUGGACAGACGGCGGUGAUGUAGUUUGGAUUUUCGGGUCUGUCUGAGGGAGAAGAUGCGCCUGUGAGAGUAUUGUGACAGGGUAAAGUUUGUUUGUGUGUGUGUGUGUGUGUGUGUGUGUGUGUGCUGUGACUAGAGAAGAUGGUGCUUUGUUGGUCUCAGUGAAGGGAGCGAGAGAAGAUGGAGGGGUGGCCUCCUCUCCAGGUUUACCUCUCCCUGUUCGCUGGGCCGGCCGGUCGGUCGGAGCGGCGAUUUCGCCACGGCGUCCGAACCGAGCCAGAAUGUAGCUGAAACGGUUUUUAAAGUAUAAAAGCGGAGCCUCGAUCUGCCUUCUCUGGCACCUGGAAACCACCGCAUGACAGAAAUCAGGAAGAAGAAGAAUUCGACUACUGUUCUGACCACGCCUGGUUGUCAUGGUGAUCGUUGGCAGCUGUUGCCGUAGAGAUGCUCGUGUCUUGAGCUUGACUGAAAAGAGGCGAGGCUUCUUGUAGGCCCGUUGUGACUCAGGCAAGGGGGAUGAGGCUUGUGAUUGGCUGGUUCUUCCUGGCUUUUCAGGGACUCGGGAUUACAUUUGCCUCCUCGCUGGCUUAUCCAGGAUCAGCUCUCCCUCCCCGACUCCUAAAGCUUAACUACAGGAGAGGAGACGCAAAACUGACAAGAGGUCUGGGGCAAGUGCACUCUACAAUGUCUAUAUUCCCUUUUACCACUCAUUGAAAUUACUUUACACUUUGUUCAUUCUGAUUUUGGCAGUGUCAACUCUCCUCGCGCCGUGAUGUGGGAGCUGUUUCGUCCCUUCUCAGUAUCCUUACCUUAACCAUUACUGGGACAGGAACAGACCCCAGAUCAGCCGCUCGGGAGGCGACACUGCUCUGCUGUUAGAGAAGGGACAAGCAACGUCUGUAAAAUGCCUCUCAUUGAUGUUGAUGUUACUGUUUUGGUUCCCAGCUUAAUUCUCGCUCUGUCUCGUCCAGUCUACUGUCGGCGUGUGUCCGUGUGCGUGUUGGAAAACCCAGUCUGUGUGUCUGAAUACAUUAUCAUGCCAAAUCGAGGAGGGAGGGUGAGAGGGAAGGAAAGGGAUUGAUACUUUUUUUUUUCUGUUUUGUAGUUGUGUACGUGUGCAUAUGUGUAUUUAAAAAGCUGGACAAUGUUAAAUGCUUGAAGAAAAAUGUCAUUUGCAAAAGAAUGAUGUGAGGAAACCUUUUCAGUAAGUGAAAACCACCAUGAGCAAUGUACAAUCCCCAGGGCUGCCAAGCAGCUUCCCGACAGGGCCAGACGAGGGGAGGAAAGAGGGUUAGGAGAGGAGGGAAGCUGGCUGGUGAUACUCUACUACUUUUAAUAUUUAAGAAAAAAAUAAUGUGACUCUUUGUGUUUCUCUUGACUUAACUAUCCUGUGAGUAAAAUGCUAUAUCAUAACACACAACCAACGGCUCCUACGGUCGAUCAAAAAAGCGCUAAGGCUAUUUUUUUGACAGAAAAAAAAACUAAACAAAAUACAAAAAAAAAACAAUAACAAACAAAAGAAAAAAAAACACAAAAACUGUGAGAAUCUGCUGUCUUUUUUGUCAUUUUACAUUUAGUAUGAACACACACACACAAACAAACCCUGAAAAGCUUUAGUCUAACCAGCACAAAGAUGUGGGUGGGUUUACUGGGUGGGUGGGUGAGUGGGUGGGCACAGUACAGAGGGUUAGGGGGUGGGUGUCGCUCAGAGAGACUAUGCAGUGGAGUGUUGAACCCAGGCUUCCAUGUCCACCUUGGUUUAUUGUUUUCUUUUACUUCUCUUUUUCGCUUUCUUUAAAUAAAUAAAUAAAUACGAAAAAAAAUCCCAAAAAAUUUUUAAAAACAGCUGAGAUGGGAUUCCCAGUAAUAUUCCUCAAAACAUGUCGUGCCAUCGUUGAAUCGUACUUCUAGUACUACUAUUACUAAUAAUAAUAAAAACUGAAAAAACCUUUAUUACCUAGCAACCGUCGGGCCAGUUGUAGCAGGAGAGGAGGACAGGUUAAGAUUUGCAAAAGUCCGUUUCUUUAUUUUCACAGCUCGUCUCCUGCUCGAUAAGCCGAGCGGAGAGAGGCCGGUGAAACUGCAAAUUUUACACAACUACAGUGUUUUUUAUAGAGAUUCUAUCAAUCCAGUGUGUAGUUGGAUCACCUGUAAACCUAUUAUGCACAUCGCUUUGGGAGACUGUUGAAACUAUAUAUAAUAUAUAUAUAUAUGAGAAUAUAAGCAUACAGUGUCUAUAAUCAUUGAGAGGGAGUCUUCCUCUCUUACAAACAAAACAGGAAGUACCUUUUUAUUUUCAAAUGUCUUCCUCGGGUCAUCAAAGGAUUUUAUCUUAAACUUCGGUGGAAUCUGCACUUUUUGAAGGACAAUCUUUAUUUGUAUGGGUAUAAAAAUUGACAAAAACGAAGUCGCCUGAUAUUACAAGGUAUAGAAAACCAACUCCAGUGUGCUCUAAUAAUGAAUGUCUCCUCUGAUGCUGUCUAUUUGUUUGGUUUCAUUUAAUCUUUUUAUUCUCCUUCCUUUGUUGCUUGGUUUGUUCUGUAUUUUUUUCUCUUAUUUUUCUGGAUUUUAGUGCUCUUAAGAGAAUCUGUACUAAGGUGUAGAGUAGUAGGUAGUAGGUCUUCUGUUGGCUGUACUCGUAUACUGAUUACUGUUUGUAACCCUCUGGCUCCUGCAGCCAGCAUACAAAGCUGUAUAACUUGGGUACAACCCUCAAUAAAAGACUAACAAUGACA
ensembl:lncRNA